GAUCAUGGCUCAGGAUGAACGCUAGCUACAGGCUUAACACAUGCAAGUCGAGGGGCAGCAUGGUCUUAGCUUGCUAAGUUUGAUGGCGACCGGCGCACGGGUGAGUAACACGUAUCCAACCUGCCGAUGACUCGGGGAUAGCCUUUCGAAAGAAAGAUUAAUACCCGAUGGCAUAGUUCUUCCGCGUGGUGGAACUAUUAAAGAAUUUCGGUCAUCGAUGGGGAUGCGUUCCAUUAGG
rnacentral:rRNA from 1 species